GACGCUUAUGCGUUGUUGGGUAGGGGAGCGUUCUGUAAGCCUGUGAAGGUGUGCUGUGAGGCAUGCUGGAGGUAUCAGAAGUGCGAAUGCUGACAUAAGUAACGAUAAAGCGGGUGAAAAGCCCGCUCGCCGGAAGACCAAGGGUUCCUGUCCAACGUUAAUCGGGGCAGGGUGAGUCGACCCCUAAGGCGAGGCCGAAAGGCGUAGUCGAUGGGAAACAGGUUAAUAUUCCUGUACUUGGUGUUACUGCGAAGGGGGGACGGAGAAGGCUAUGUUGGCCGGGCGACGGUUGUCCCGGUUUAAGCGUGUAGGCUGGUUUUCCAGGCAAAUCCGGAAAAUCAAGGCUGAGGCGUGAUGACGAGGCACUACGGUGCUGAAGCAACAAAUGCCCUGCUUCCAGGAAAAGCCUCUAAGCAUCAGGUAACAUCAAAUCGUACCCCAAACCGACACAGGUGGUCAGGUAGAGAAUACCAAGGCGCUUGAGAGAACUCGGGUGAAGGAACUAGGCAAAAUGGUGCCGUAACUUCGGGAGAAGGCACGCUGAUAUGUAGGUGAAGUCCCUCGCGGAUGGAGCUGAAAUCAGUCGAAGAUACCAGCUGGCUGCAACUGUUUAUUAAAAACACAGCACUGUGCAAACACGAAAGUGGACGUAUACGGUGUGACGCCUGCCCGGUGCCGGAAGGUUAAUUGAUGGGGUCAGCGCAAGCGAAGCUCUUGAUCGAAGCCCCGGUAAACGGCGGCCGUAACUAUAACGGUCCUAAGGUAGCGAAAUUCCUUGUCGGGUAAGUUCCGACCUGCACGAAUGGCGUAAUGAUGGCCAGGCUGUCUCCACCCGAGACUCAGUGAAAUUGAACUCGCUGUGAAGAUGCAGUGUACCCGCGGCAAGACGGAAAGACCCCGUGAACCUUUACUAUAGCUUGACACUGAACAUUGAGCCUUGAUGUGUAGGAUAGGUGGGAGGCUUAGAAGUGUGGACGCCAGUCUGCAUGGAGCCGACCUUGAAAUACCACCCUUUAAUGUUUGAUGUUCUAACGUUGACCCGUAAUCCGGGUUGCGGACAGUGUCUGGUGGGUAGUUUGACUGGGGCGGUCUCCUCCUAAAGAGUAACGGAGGAGCACGAAGGUUGGCUAAUCCUGGUCGGACAUCAGGAGGUUAGUGCAAUGGCAUAAGCCAGCUUGACUGCGAGCGUGACGGCGCGAGCAGGUGCGAAAGCAGGUCAUAGUGAUCCGGUGGUUCUGAAUGGAAGGGCCAUCGCUCAACGGAUAAAAGGUACUCCGGGGAUAACAGGCUGAUACCGCCCAAGAGUUCAUAUCGACGGCGGUGUUUGGCACCUCGAUGUCGGCUCAUCACAUCCUGGGGCUGAAGUAGGUCCCAAGGGUAUGGCUGUUCGCCAUUUAAAGUGGUACGCGAGCUGGGUUUAGAACGUCGUGAGACAGUUCGGUCCCUAUCUGCCGUGG
rnacentral:rRNA from 1 species